UAUUUCACACUCGUAAGUUAUUCUUUAAAAGUUGUUAAAACUCGUGUGAAAUAAAUUCCAUAUCCAACAACCACUCGUGUUACCUCUAUUUAUAUUAUAACCCCAGGAACUAGCUGUCCUGUACUGUUUCUUAAUGUUUAAUAUUAUAUGCUUUACCAAAGAUUGAGCAUUAUAUAAUCAGAAUGGUGGACUUGCACAAAUCAAAAAGGAGAACAGAAAUAUCUGAUACCAGUGUCUCUUAUUGCCAAAAUAAGCUGUCUCCUUUUUAUCCCUGAUGUCCAAUGUUUUUAAUUUUAAUAUUUACAAUUUCUGUUUCCAUACUACAGGAAUAUAUUGCUUGUACUUAAAAUUGUAGCUAUUUUCCAGGAUAAUGUCUGGGAAAGAAUGAAAAGGUACGACAGGACUUUGAAAUCUUAGACAGAAACAUCAGAUGACUUUCCUCUUUAUUUAAUGCACAAAUAAUCUGUGACCAUCGGAUCAAAACCUCAUGACUGAAAAACAUUCAAAUGUGUUUUUGAAGGAAGGGGAGGUAAGCACCACUGGUGUCUCAAUCAUGAAACGGGAGGUAAGCACCACUUGUGUAUCAAUCAUGAAAGGGGAGGUAAGCACCACUUGUGUCUCAAUCCUGAAAGGGGAGAUAGCACCACUGGUGUCUCAAUCAUGAAAGGGGAGAUAGCACCACUUGUGUCUCAAUCAUGAAAGGGGAGAUAGCACCGCCUGUGUCUCAAUCAUGGAAGGGGAGAUAGCACCACUGGUGUCUCAAUCAUGAAAGGGGAGGUAAGCACCACUUGUGUCUCAAUCAUGAAAGGGGAGAUAGCACCACUGGUGUCUCAAUCAUGAAAGGGGAGGUAAGCACCACUGGUGUCUCAAUCAUGAAAGGGGAGGUAAGCACCACUGGUGUCUCAAUCAUGAAAGGGGAGAUAACACCACUGGUGUCUCAAUCAUGAAAGGGGAGGUAAGCACCACUGGUGUCUCUGUCAUGAAAGGGGAGGUAAGCACCACUGAUGUCUCAAUCAUGAAAGGGGAGGUAAGUACCACUGGUGUCUCAAUCAUGAAAGGGGAGGUAAGCACCACUGGUGUCUCAAUCAUGAAAGGGGAGAUAGCACCACUGGUGUCUCAAUCAUGAAAGGGGAGGUAAACACCACUGGUGUCUCAAUCAUGGAAGGGGAGAUAGCACCACUGGUGUCUCAAUCAUGGAAGGGGAGAUAGCACCACUGGUGUCUCAAUCAUGAAAGGGGAGAUAGCACCGCCUGUGUCUCAAUCAUGAAAGGGGAGAUAGCACCACUGGUGUCUCAAUCAUGAAAGGGGAGGUAAGCACCACUGGUGUCUCUGUCAUGAAAGGGGAGGUAAGCACCACUGGUGUCUCAAUGAUAGAAGGGAAGGUCAAAUUACCCAGUAAUGUAGAUAUUGAAAUACUGUAAACUAUUUGAAUCUAUGAUGAAAAUGUACUGAAUUGCUUUUCAGAUCAAGAUAGAAAUGCUAUUUUGGGGCAGACUAUAAAUGUGUUCAGUGUUUAAAUAUUUAUGAUGUUUGAGUAAUCAUAUACACUUAAAAUGACUUAAUAUAUUUAAACUUGUGUGAAAAUUAUUGCAGUCUCAAAUUGAAUAUUUGUUAUUAGAUUGAUACAAUAAAACUUUUGUUUAGUCUACCUCCUAUAUAUAGAUCUAGGUGAAGAUGAACUUAGUUUUAAAGCUGUUGAUCAUUGGUCCUACAUAGUUGCCAUAAGUUCACAUUAUCUACACAACUCAGUUUGUAUUAUUUGUAUGUCCUUAGUUUUGAAAAACUACUAUACAGCCAUUUACAAGUUUCAGGUUUUCCACUUACAGGGUCCAUUAAUAGGUGAUUAAGUUUUACCGUUAUUAUAAUUUGUUGUCUGUCAUCCAUCCACCAACAACACCUCAUUAAGAGCUGAGGGGCAGGUCCAUGAGCGCCUGGUCAUAUGGAGGUAGAAGGGUGGGCCCAAUGGGAAUCAACUGGCAUAAACAGUGGCCUUGAGCUUGGUCCCCUUGGGGUAGAAGGAUGGGCCCAAUAGGGAUCGACCUAUAUAAACUGAGACCUUGGCCCCCUGGGGUAGAGGAGUGGGCCAAAAAGGGACAGGUAUAAACAGUGGCCUUAGUCCCCUGGGAUGGAGGGGCAGGCCCAAUAGGGACUGGUAUAAACAGUGGCCUUGGCCCCCUGGGCGUGGAGGGGCAGGCCCAAUAGGGAUUGGUAUAAACAAUGACCUUGGCCCCCUGGGGAUGGAGGGGCAGACCCAUUAGGGAUUGGUAUAAACAGUGACCGUGACUCCCUGGGGAUGGAGGGGCAGGCCCAAUAGGGAUUGGUAUAAACAGUGACCGUGACUCCCUGGGGUAGAGGGGCAAGCCCAAUUGUGACAGGUAUAAACAGUGGCUUAGGCCCUGGGGUGGAGGGGCAGGCCCAUAAACAGUGGCAUUGGCCCCCUGGGGUGGAUAUAUGAAGAGGGGCCCGGGAGCCCACUGGGGACUGGUAUCAAUAUUAGCUUUGGCCCUGGGUGGAGGGGCCAAUAGGGAUAAUAAAGCUGAGAAAAAAGGAAGUAUUUUUAAGCAAAAUUUACUUUGAAUGAAUGGAAAUAUGUUUCGUCAUGAUUGUCGAUAUAUCUAGGUAAUGUAUAUACAUGCCCUAUAGGCUUUUUUUGUUUCUUUUGAUUUAAGUUGUUAAAAACAUGUUGAAAAAUAUUACAAUGUAUAAGUAUAUUUUUGUCAUUAUUUUUGUUGUGUUACUUAAAGAAAUUUCAUUUCAACUUGAGAAUGUGUGGUACUGUAAUGAACUGUGGUAUACAUAUCACAGGUACUUGACACAAACUCCUAACCCAUAAUCCAUAUUGUAUGCAUUAGAUGUAUAAAUAUAUUAAAAUAUGGACUGUGGAAUCAGAAAUUUGCGACAAGUCCCUGUGUAAAAUAUAUGAAAAUAAUUCCCUCCAUGGUAAAUUUGGGAGUUACCAUGGUUACUAACUGACUGUAGAUUUGGUAUCAUUGAUUGAAUUGUAGACACAGUAAUGGGUCUUAUUGUAAUAAUAGACAAUCUACUUAUGUGUCACGCACCACUGACUCAAGAAUUUAAAAUUCUUAUAAAAAGUAUUUAUUAUCAUAUCCUGAGAAAUUCUUUUAUCAAAGUGACAUUCAUAUCAAUGAAUUAGACAACGGUACAAACUGUGUGUAAUAUCAUUAUCAAAUACUGAGAACAUUAUCUAUGAAGUUAUGUUCAAUAUCUACUAUAUGUACAAAACUGUGUGUAAUAUCAUUAUCAAAUACUGAGAACAUUAUCUAUGAAGUUAUGUUCAAUAUAUACUAUAUGUACAAAACUGUGUGUAAUAUCAUUAUCGAUUACUGAAAACAUAAUCUUUGAAGUUAUGUUCAAUAUAUACUAUAGGUACAUUGUACUUGGUACAGCGGUUCAAACUGUAUUUAUUAUUUAUGAAGUUAUGUUCAAUAUAUUCUGCGUAUAAGUGUGAGUAUGAUAGUUCAUGUCUUUGGUGCUUUCAGAAUGGAUUUAAAUAUUAUCAACCAUUUUAAUGCCAGCGUAGUAUUAGUGUGCAUUUAUUGCUGCUUAAAUGUUUUUUGGUGUGGUGACAUUUUGAUAAUGUCUAAUUUGAUUGAUAAUGAAUUAAUAAUUUGAUUGUUUCAUUAAUGUAAAUCACAAUGUUGUAUUGAAAUCGUUUGAUAAAUGAUAAAUUUUAUCAGAAAUAAUUUAAUGUCUCAGUUUUAUCCGACUCUUCAGAUCUCAUGCUUGGAAUCAAUGAAUAAUUUUGAUGUUCACAGGAGUAAUUCAAAGUUGUUUUUUUAACCCACCAUCACAAGAUGGCUAUUCAAAUCGCCCUAUGACGUCCAUGGUCUGUGGUCCAUCGUAAACAAUCCUUGUUGACUCUAUUUCUUGAAAAGUACCAAUUGUGCACAUUCAGUUUUUGGUCUGAUCAGAGAAACAAAUGGGUGACAGGCGACAAUCUUUGAUUUUGACAGUUGAAGUUUGUUAUCACUAUUUCUUAAGAAAUAAUUGUAGGAUUUUUUUCAAUCUUCACAUGUAAGUUCCCCUUGGUUCCUGCAUGGUUGUGCCCAUUUGAUUUUGAGUCUCACAGAUCAAAAAAAACAAAAUGUCUUCACAGUUGAAAUUUAGCUAUUUCUAAUUUACGAAGAUUUUCUUAUAAUAGAUCUCCCUUAGAUUUCCUACAUGUAUAAAGGUUUUUGUCAUCAAAUCAUUAAGGUAGAAAAAAAAUCAGUCUUACAAAGAUCCAAAGAAGAUCAUCCAGUAGCUUCGUGUCAAGAAUCCCCUUGAAUCGCUUUUGCAAAAAAAAAGUGAUUGUUACCAAAUAAGGAUGAAUGGAUUUAGCACACUUCUCUGUAAAUUGCUAAGUGGUUUAAUACAUGGAGAAUCUAGUGUUAGGGGCAUUUUUUUUCUUUCUUUUUUUUAAUAAAUAUCCAAAAAAAAAUAUAAAAAAAAAUUGUCAUGCAUGAAAUCAUAUACAGAUAUGUAACCAUUUUGAAGUGAUAAAUGAUAAAUAUUACAUUAUGGAAGAAAAAAAACUUGACCUGAUCAUGGAAAUAAAAAUAAAGCAACUAA